rnacentral:pre_miRNA from 1 species
UUUUCGUUUUUCCAUGUCCAACGUUUGACCAUUUGUCUUAUUUAAAAUUUUUUUGCGAUUAAUAUUUUUAUUAUUACUAGAUGAUAAAAUAUGAAUAGUACUUUAUACGUGACUAUUUUUUAAAAGUUUUUAAAUAAAAUUUUUAAAUAAGACGAAUGGUCAAACGUUGGACACGGAAAAAC